UGGGGAAUAUUGCACAAUGGGCGCAAGCCUGAUGCAGCGACGCCGCGUGGGGGAUGAAGGCCUUCGGGUUGUAAACUCCUUUCGCUAGGGAAGAAGCCACUUGUGGUGACGGUACCUGGAUAAGAAGCACCGGCUAACUACGUGCCAGCAGCCGCGGUAAUACGUAGGGUGCGAGCGUUGUCCGGAAUUACUGGGCGUAAAGAGCUCGUAGGUGGUUUGUCGCGUCGUCUGUGAAAUUCCGGGGCUUAACUUCGGGCGUGCAGGCGAUACGGGCAUAACUAGAGUGCUGUAGGGGAGACUGGAAUUCCUGGUGUAGCGGUGAAAUGCGCAGAUAUCAGGAGGAACACCGAUGGCGAAGGCAGGUCUCUGGGCAGUUACUGACGCUGAGGAGCGAAAGCAUGGGUAGCGAACAGGAUUAGAUACCCUGGUAGUCCAUGCCGUAAACGGUGGGCGCUAGGUGUGGGGGUUUUAUUUACGAUUCCCGUGCCGUAGCUAACGCAUUAAGCGCCCCGCCUGGGGAGUACGGCCGCAAGGCUA
rnacentral:rRNA from 1 species